rnacentral:rRNA from 1 species
GUCGAGAGGCUUCGGCAAUGGGGGAAACCCUGACCGAGCGACGCCGCGUGGGUGAUGAAGUCCUUCGGGAUGUAAAACCCUGUCAUACGGGAUGAAAAACCGAUCGGUAAAUAGCCUUUCGGUUUGACAGUACUGUAAGAGGAAGCUCCGGCUAACUCCGUGCCAGCAGCCGCGGUAAUACGGGGGGAGCGAGCGUUAUUCGGAUUCACUGGGCGUAAAGGGUUCGUAGGCGGUCAAGUAAGUCAGGGGUGAAAUCUAACGGCUUAACCGUUAAACUGCCCUUGAAACCGCUUGACUUGAGGACAUGAGAGGAAAGCGGAAUUCUUGGUGUAGCGGUGAAAUGCGUGGAUAUCAAGAGGAACACCGGUGGCGAAGGCGGCUUUCUGGCAUGUUACUGACGCUGAGGAACGAAAGUCAGGGGAGCGAACGGGAUUAGAAACCCUUGUAGUCC